AUUGAACGCUGGCGGCAUGCUUUACACAUGCAAGUCGAACGGCAGCGCGGGCUUCGGCCUGGCGGCGAGUGGCGAACGGGUGAGUAAUGCAUCGGAACGUGCCCAGUAGUGGGGGAUAGCCCGGCGAAAGCCGGAUUAAUACCGCAUACGACCUGAGGGUGAAAGCGGGGGACCGAAAGGCCUCGCGCUAUUGGAGCGGCCGAUGUCGGAUUAGCUAGUUGGUGGGGUAAAGGCUUACCAAGGCGACGAUCCGUAGCUGGUCUGAGAGGACGACCAGCCACACUGGGGGUGAGACACGGCCCCGACUCCUACGGGAGGCCGCCGUGGGGAAUUUUGGGCAAAGGGGGCAACCCUGAUCCAGCCAUGCCGCGUGCGGGAAGAAGGCCUUCGGGUUGUAAACCGCUUUUGUUCGGGAAGAAAUCCUCUGGGCUAAUACCCCGGGGGGAUGACGGUACCGGAAGAAUAAGCACCGGCUAACUACGUG
rnacentral:rRNA from 1 species